rnacentral:rRNA from 1 species
GACGAACGCUGGCGGCGUGCUUAACACAUGCAAGUCGAACGGAAAGGCCUGCUUUCCCUUGUGGAUUGCGGGUACUCGAGUGGCGAACGGGUGAGUAACACGUGAGUGAUCUGCCCCCAACUUGGGUAUAAGCCUGGGAAACUGGGUCUAAUUCCCGAUAGGACUGCAGGGUGGUGCCUGUGGUGGAAAACGAUUUUCUAGUGGUUGGGGAUGAGCUCGCGGCCUAUCAGCUUGUUGGUGGGGUAAUGGCCUACCAAGGCGGCGACGGGUAGCCGGCCUGAGAGGGUGGACGGCCACAUUGGGACUGAGAUACGGCCCAGACUCCUACGGGAGGCAGCAGUGGGGAAUAUUGCACAAUGGGCGGAAGCCUGAUGCAGCGACGCCGCGUGGGGGAUGACGGCCUUCGGGUUGUAAACUCCUUUCGACCGCGAGGAAGCCACCUGAUUGGAAGGGUGGUGACGGUAGUGGUAGAAGAAGCACCGGCUAACUACGU